AGAACGAACGCUGGCGGCAUGCCUAACACAUGCAAGUCGAACGAGACCUUUCGGGGUCUAGUGGCGCACGGGUGCGUAACGCGUGGGAAUCUGCCCCUUGGUUCGGAAUAACAGUUAGAAAUGACUGCUAAUACCGGAUGACGACGUAAGUCCAAAGAUUUAUCGCCGAGGGAUGAGCCCGCGUAGGAUUAGCUAGUUGGUGAGGUAAUGGCUCACCAAGGCGACGAUCCUUAGCUGGUCUGAGAGGAUGAUCAGCUACACUGGGACUGAGACACGGCCCAGACUCCUACGGGAGGCAGCAGUGGGGAAUAUUGGACAAUGGGCGAAAGCCUGAUCCAGCAAUGCCGCGUGAGUGAUGAAGGCCGUUAGGGUUGUAAAGCUCUUUACCAGGGAUGAUAAUGACAGUACCUGGAGAAUAAGCUCCGGCUAACUCCGCGCCAGCAGCCGC
rnacentral:rRNA from 1 species